rnacentral:rRNA from 1 species
AACGAACGCUGGCGGCAGGCUUAGCACAUGCAAGUCGAGCGCCCCGCAAGGGGAGCGGCAGACGGGUGAGUAACGCGUGGGAAUCUACCCAUCUCUACGGAAUAACGCAUGGAAACGUGUGCUAAUACCGUAUACGUCCUUCGGGAGAAAGAUUUAUCGGAGAUGGAUGAGCCCGCGUUGGAUUUGCUAGUUGGUGGGGUAAAGGCCUACCAAGGCGACGAUCCAUAGCUGGUCUGAGAGGAUGAUCAGCCACACUGGGACUGAGACACGGCCCAGACUCCUACGGGAGGCAGCAGUGGGGAAUAUUGGACAAUGGGCGCAAGCCUGAUCCAGCCAUGCCGCGUGAGUGAUGAAGGCCCUAGGGUUGUAAGGCUCUUUCACCGGUGAAGAUAAUGACGGUAACCGGAGAAGAAGCCCCGGCUAACUUCGUGCCAGCCGCCGCGGUAAUAC